rnacentral:rRNA from 1 species
UGGGGAAUUUUGGACAAUGGGCGAAAGCCUGAUCCAGCAAUGCCGCGUGUGUGGAGAAGGCCUUCGGGUUGUAAAGCACUUUUGUCCGGAAAGAAAUCCUUGGCUCUAAUACAGUCGGGGGAUGACGGUACCGGAAGAAUAAGCACCGGCUAACUACGUGCCAGCAGCCGCGGUAAUACGUAGGGUGCAAGCGUUAAUCGGAAUUACUGGGCGUAAAGCGUGCGCAGGCGGUUUGCUAAGACCGAUGUGAAAUCCCCGGGCUCAACCUGGGAACUGCAUUGGUGACUGGCAGGCUAGAGUAUGGCAGAGGGGGGUAGAAUUCCACGUGUAGCAGUGAAAUGCGUAGAGAUGUGGAGGAAUACCGAUGGCGAAGGCAGCCCCCUGGGCCAAUACUGACGCUUAUGCACGAAAGCGUGGGGAGCAAACAGGAUUAGAUACCCUGGUAGUCCACGCCCUAAACGAUGUCAACUAGUUGUUGGGGAUUCAUUUCCUUAGUAACGUAGCUAACGCGUGAAGUUGACCGCCUGGGGAGUACGGUCGCAAGAUUAAAACUCAAAUGAAUUGACGGGGUCAUAGCUGUUUCCU